GAAACUAACAAGGAUUCCGUCAGUAGCGGCGAGCGAAGACGGAAGAGCCCAGCGCUGAAUCCCCCGGUCCGGACUGGGCCGGCGGGAAAUGUAGCGUUAGGGGGUGCCCGAUUUCAAAACUCGGUGCGCGUGCGGCGAGCCCAAGUCUCCCUUGAACGGUGCCAUCAUCCACAGAGGGUGCCAGGCCCGUACGGCCGCCGCCGCGUCCGGGUGGGUAGAUCAACUAUCCCCUGGGAGUCGGUCUGCUUGAGAACGCAGACCUAAGCGGGUGGUAAACUCCAUCUAAGGCUAAAUACGACCACGAGACCGAUAGCGCACAAGUACCGUGAGGGAAAGGUGAAAAGAACUUUGAAGAGAGAGUUCAAGAGUACGUGAAACUGGAGAGGUGAAAACGGAAGUGGCUCGAAGUUCCGAACGGUGGCGUUCAGUCUCACCGAUCACUCUCGGCACCUCCCCCUUCAAAGAGGCCGGAGAACAAUCUGGGGUCGGCACUGGCGGGAAUCAGCGGCGGCGUCUUGCGGCGGGUCUUCGGGCCCGUUCGUCGGCGUCGUCGUCUCUCGUCGCUCUGUCGGCUUCCACCUCCAGGUCACGGGGUGUAGCGUCGCCGAGGCGGUGUGGAUGCACUCGCUGCCGUAGUAGGAUGUCGCGACUCGUCGGGUGACGGUCGUGAGGCCGGUUGGGACAGCCCGGUGUCCGUGAGUCUCGCACCCCUGGGGCAAAAGGCGAGCAGUGCGGCCCGGACCCAUGCCGUGAUUCCUCUCCGUCUGCCCGACGGUAUCGAAAGCGUGUCGGCGCGGCCAAGCCGGGCUAUCAACGGGCGUCGCUUUCAUUGCUUCGCCCAGGCCCGUGCCCAAAAAACGUAAGCCGCCGGCUGUCUGCGGCAUUGCCCGAUUCGGGUCCACUUCCGACCCGUCUUGAAACACGGACCAAGGAGCGUAACACAUGCGCGAGUCGAAGGGUAUGUACGAAACCCGGAGGCGAAGCGAAAGCGUAUGGGGCGAUGGGUUUAAGGUCGUGCUCUGUCGCCGGUUCGUCCGGCGACAUCCGGCCACCUCGCAGCCCCGGGGCACCUCAUGCGGCCCUGGUCGUCUCCCCCGUCUCCCUCACGGGGGGCGGGAUCAGUCGGGACUUCCUGGGUCGAGGCGCACCUGAGAGCGUAUGUGUUGCUACCCGAAAGAUGGUGAACUAUGCCUGGCCAGGACGAAGCCAGGGGAAACCCUGGUGGAAGUCCGUAGCGAUUCUGACGUGCAAAUCGAUCGUCGGAGCUGGGUAUAGGGGCGAAAGACUAAUCGAACCAUCUAGUAGCUGGUUCCCUCCGAAGUUUCCCUCAGGAUAGCUGGCACUCGGAGAAUUAUCUGUGAAAGAGGCUCAACGAGUCUCAUCCGGUAAAGCGAAUGAUUAGAGGCCUUGGGGCCGAAACGACCUCAACCUAUUCUCAAACUUUAAAUGGGUGAGAACCCCGGCUUGCUUGAGAGGGGGUGUGUUCGUCGUCGCGUUCGCGGUUGAGUUGGGUAUAUCCCUUCCAGUCCGGCGUGCUUCGUUCCCCUCCGUCGUUGCCUCUUGAAGCCGGGGACUCUGGAUCAUGAGUGCCAAGUGGGCCAAUUUUGGUAAGCAGAACUGGCGCUGUGGGAUGAACCAAACGCAGAGUUAAAGCGCCUAAAUCGACGCUCAUGGGAGACCAUGAAAGGUGUUGGUUGCUUAAGACAGCAGGACGGUGGCCAUGGAAGUCGGAAUCCGCUAAGGAGUGUGUAACAACUCACCUGCCGAAGCAACUAGCCCUUAAAAUGGAUGGCGCUAAAGCGUCGUGCUUAUACUCUGCCGCCGGUGGCAAAAGCGGCCGGUAAGGCGGACGGCCUCGUCUCUUGAGUCGAGAAACCGGCCCCGAGCCUUGAGGCCCCGGUGAGUAGGAGGGUCGCUCGGGUGUGCGCAGAAGGGUCUGGGCGUGAGCCUGCCUGGAGCCGCCCGAGGUGCAGAUCUUGGUGGUAGUAGCAAAUACUCCAGAGAGGGCCCUGGAGGGCUGAUGCGGAGAAGGGUUCCGUGUGAACAGCUGUUGCACACGGGUCAGUCGAUCCUAAGCCCUAGGAGAACUCCUAUGUGCGAUGUGCGGAUGUCUUUUUCUUAUCGAAAUGAUUCUUCCGUCGCCGGGCGAAAGGGAAUCAGGUUCCUAUUCCUGAACCCAGAUGCGGUACCGUUCUUACCGGGCUUGUCUCGAAGCCGGUGGGUGGCCGGUCGCCUCUGCGCUUCCGCGUCCAUGUUGCCGUGCCUAGGGCGAACUCGUCGGGGUAACCCGAACAGCCGCGGAGAAGCCGGCAGGAGCCCCCGGGAGAGUUGUCUUUUCUGUAUUACCGCGCAAGUUCCCUGGAAUUCCAUUGCGGAGAGAGAGGGAAUAGCGCGGGAAGAGCACCGCACUUGCGGCGGUGUCGGGGGUGGCCUCUCGGACCAUGAAAAUCCGCGUGAGGGCCACGGAGAACAACCGAUCUGGCUCGUACCCAUAUCCGCAGCCG
rnacentral:rRNA from 1 species